ACGUCAUCCCCACCUUCCUCCGGUUUGGCACCGGCAGUCUCCAAUGAGUCCCCGGCAUUACCCGCUGGCAACAUUGGACAGGGGUUGCGCUCGUUGCGCCACUUAAGGCAACACCUCACGGCACGAGCUGACGACAGCCAUGCAGCACCUGUGCAGGCUCCCGAAGGAGCACCGGCUUUCACCGGUUUCACCCUGCAUGUCAAGCCCUGGUAAGGUUCUUCGCGUUGCGUCGAAUUAAGCCACAUGCUCCGCCGCUUGUGCGGGUCCCCGUCAAUUCCUUUGAGUUUUAGCCUUGCGGCCGUACUCCCCAGGCGGGGUGCUUAAUGCGUUUGCGACGGCACGGAAGGGGUUGAUGCCUCCCACACCUAGCACCCAACGUUUACGGCUGGGACUACCAGGG
rnacentral:misc_RNA from 1 species